AUUCCAGCUCCAAUAGCGUAUAUUAAAGUUGUUGCAGUUAAAAAGCUCGUAGUUGAAUUUUGGACCUGGUUGAAUGGUCCCGCCGCAAGGUGGGUACUGUUUGAUUGGGUCUUUCUUUGCGGGGAAUUAGUGUGCUCAUAAUUGGGUGCAUUAAGGGUCCGUAACUUUUACUUUGAAAAAAUUAGAGUGUUUAAAGCAGGCUUAGGCCUGAAUACAUUAGCAUGGAAUAAUAGAAUAGGACCUGUGUUCUAUUUUGUUGGUUUCUAGGACGUAGGUAAUGAUUAAUAGGGACAGUUGGGGGCAUUAGUAUUUAAGUGCCAGAGGUGAAAUUCUUGGAUUGCUUAAAGACUAACUUCUGCGAAAGCAUUUGCCAAGGAUGUUUUCAUCG
rnacentral:rRNA from 1 species